rnacentral:rRNA from 1 species
CGUCUAUAUACGUAUAGCAUAUCAAUAAGCGGAGGAAAAGAAACUAACAAGGAUUCCCUUAGUAACGGCGAGUGAAGCGGGAAGAGCUCAAAUUUGAAAUCUUCAAGGUUCUACCUUGACGAAUUGUAGUUUAAAGAAGUGUUUUCUGUUAGAGGAGUCAGCAAAAGUUCCUUGGAAUGGGACAUCAUAGAGGGUGAGAAUCCCGUAUUUGGUUACUUCUUUCUAGCUUUGUGAUACACUUUCAAAGAGUCGGAUUGUUUGGGAAUGCAGUCCAAAAUGGGUGGUAAAUUUCAUCUAAAGCUAAAUAUUGGCGAGAGACCGAUAGCGAACAAGUACCGUGAGGGAAAGAUGAAAAGAACUUUGAAAAGAGAGUUAAACAUGUACGUGAAAUUGUCAAAAGGGAAGCGUUUGACACCAGUGUUGUUUUUCCGAAAAUCAAUUAAGAGUGGCUUGAUUUUGUGUUGUAUUGACCUUAUCAGCUUUCUUCACUCUUUUUCGAGUUUUUCUUAAUGCACUUUUCGGUUAACAAGUCAACAUCAAUUUCUUUUGUUGUAAAAGGGUAUUUGGAAGGUGGCUUUCUUUUCGGAGAAAGUGUUUAUAGCCUUAUACCUCUACAAUCGGAGAGAUUGAGGUCUGCAGCGUAGAUCCUUCGGGGCUAGAUACACUUGUGCUAAGUUAUAGCUUUUCAUAGACAACUUGUUGACUAUGUUUAGUCAUGUAGCUUACCCGCUUGUGCUAUUUUACCUACGCUUAGGAUGUUGAGUCAUCACACAUCUCU